AGGGAAUUUCUUUUAUUCGUUACCACAUGUUUGAGAACCAGUGAUAGCUUUGCAAAUCCGCAAGUGUAUUUGAAGAAUCUGAUCUCUAGUUAUCAUUACAUUGAACAGGGGCUCCUGUAAUUGAAUCAUAACAACAGCAGCCAAGCAGCCAAAAUUUCGCGUACAUGGGGGUGAGAAUAGAGCUCGGGUUCGCUCAAAAAGUGCAGAAUCCCAACAACUUUAUAAACUCCGUUUUCAUACAUUUUGUAUUGAAGACAAUCAGGAAAUUUAAAGAUAAACAACGACAGACGUACGUAUUUUAAAAACUGAAAGAUAAAAUUGCCUUUGAUAAUGUCACACCCCUGGCUGACAUGUUAUAGCUCUACCCUGCGGCAUGAGGCAGGAAGAGUUGCAAAUGACUGAAAAAUACACGGUGGGGGGUGGCGGGAGGGAGGCUUGGAAUCAACAGGGCCCUUCUACUGUAGGGGGUAAGGAAAAUGCGCACGAUCGCGGAUUACAGCAGGCAACUGCCGUCAAAAAAAUUGCAUGCUUCUUCUAGCCCCUGUAUAACUUUAUCGCCCAAGGUAAGCGAGAUCAUUCUUUUGAGCCAGAUGAAUUGGAAAUGAGAGAAAGGAGGCUUGCGAAGAGUACAGUUCCCAAAUUUCCGUGGCGUUUCUCAUAUCCCUCACCUCGUACCCCUUCUUGUUUACAAUAUAUUUGUCGCCGACAAGUUACGGUGUUCUAGAUCGUCCUCUAGAUCGUUCUAGAUGGUCCAUAUGCUUUAUUCCCGCGCGCCACGCUCGUUUCUGGCGGUGAUGUUUUAUUGUACCUUAUCCUAAGAUCUCCUCGGAUUUUUUGACCCAUUUCAAACUGAUUUUCCAUACCUUUUAAAUCUGAAUAAAACAGGGUUUGAUGGAAUAAAACAGGUCCGUUGGAGCUCAGGGGGCAAGAGGAAAUAAGCACCACAUAGACUAUAUCAACAGAAGUAGAGACAGAGUCGCUCUGUGGACGUAAGUUUGGUUUAGGACUAACGGGACUGCCGGUUACAGGGCUCGAGAUAGAGAAAGUGCAGACCAAAAUCAGAGCAAAACUUAUACUCGCACUGUCCAAUGUAGAAUGUAAGUGAAGAUAACUGUUUGGAAUAAAGGAAAAAAAUACAGUGCUAUAAAAGAAUGCCGAAAUUUCUCUUCGAUAACAUCCCACAUGUCUAUUUUGGCGAGCGAGAAACGAGCGAGCGCAUUUUGACCAAGCGAUUCCAACUCGGAAGAGGCUUGGAGAGAGACGAAAAAGCAUCCUAGAUCCAGUACUCUAGAAGGAGUGAGGUUGAAGAGGAGUAAGUGGUGGGGGCAGGGGAAGGAAAAAUAAACGUUUUUCCACCCUUUCUAGGCUUUUGUACAUCAUGUUAGUAUUUUUUCAAGUAUUUUAGCGAGGCAAAAGUAUUAAGCUUUGUUCGAGCAUUUUAGUGCGAUUUUCCCGGAAAAUUAAUUUUUUCCUCAGAAAAUAGAAAUCAACAUUUUUUACCAGAAAAUUAAAAAAUUGAAAAAAUUUCAAAUGCCACCCUAAUGCAGCGAGUAAAGAGGUCUGAAUGAGUGUCCUAUCAACCUUUACGUUCAAUUUUUUAGACCAAAAUAGGCAUUAGCGCAGAGUGCAGUUUCUUUUAAGUGUUGAAUUACUUGUAAAAGACUCUGAUCGGCCGCUUACAAGAGCUUAAAAACAAAGGAAUAGUCCAGCUGGGUAAUCCCAAAAGAGGCCGCGGUCGCUUAAGAGAGGUUCAAGUCACAGUUACCACGGUCCAAACAGGGUUUCACACAUGUGAUCUUAACUAGAGCUGGUCGCUUAGGAGAGUGGUCGCACGGAAAGCUUCGACUGUAGUCACCUUUGCAAGACUGUGAUCCUUUCGAUCGCGUCCGUGCAGUGAUGUAUGAGCAUUAACCGAACAUUUUUGGAGGGGAAACCGAGCAUUUUAGUGGGAAAAAUGGAGCAUUAAGGUGGAGCAUUUUAAUGGGGAAAUAAAAGCACAACGUACAAAAGUCUAACCCCCUCCCCGCCAACGUUUCCCAAGGAACCAUGGCGGCGAAUCUACUGGAUUACGAGCUAAUACCGAUAUCUCGUGAACACACGGAAAACGCCUGCACUGCAGGCUAGUCUAUCCGUGCGGAGAACCCCACCCCCCUCCCCUCUGCACUCACGCACAAGUAAAGUACAGAAUCAAAGAGUAUGACAACAAAUUUCACAAUUAACAAUUGAACUAUUAUUUUAUUCCAGGUACAUAAGCAGCCGUUUUAAUUGACAUGCAGUUACUUUACAUCGCCUUGUUUCUGGACGUGCUCAAACUACAACAAAAACCAAAUACAAGUGAUACUUGUGAAUAUAAGGAGAAUGUUUUGUAAACCUAAGAAAAAUGAAGCGAAAUCCAAGUUUAAAAACACCUGUGUCAUUAAGUAUAACCGAUAUAUGUGAGCUAUAAUCAGCACGCACCUAUAGCAGUAUCAAGUGCUGUUUUCAAAUGACCUACUCCAAGGGGACGAAUAAAACCAACGUCAAUAGCUUUGUGCAGCGACACGUUUGUGCUACCAUAAUAAAUUCAACUUAAGAA
rnacentral:lncRNA from 1 species